GCCAGUGUAGCAGAGUGGUGUGAGCGUUAGACUAUGACUCUGGAGAGCAGGGUUCAAAUCUCCUCUUGGCCA